CACUAUAUUAUAAAGCAUUUCAAGUUCACAAAUCGUCAACACGACUGUUGACUGCCGUAUGAGCUGAAGAUUCCGUCUCCAUGCUUGGCUGAGGCGUCCGUGAGAUCUAAUCUGGGUAUGAGCUGUCCUCGUCACCUCGAUCGAUUUAUCCUUUCAGCGUAUGCUACAGCUGUCCUUUCUGAAUAGAUAAGAUUUGAUGUAACCAUUUUCCUUGAUCUUGCGGGAGCGAUUAAGGGUUGAAUUAUCUUAUCCAAUUUGGCAUAUCCAACGGUCCGAUAAUUUCGAGAUCGUGCGUUCUCACAGCUAACAAUCCAGCUGUCUGACAUCUUUCUAUAUAAACAAUCAGAGCCCCAAGGAUCCAGGUAAGUCAAAUCAAAUCCCAUUCAGAGAAUCCGUUGCUGCUUG
rnacentral:lncRNA from 1 species